GGCGCGGUCUUUUGUGUGUUUCACUAGGAGGUGCGGGAGACACCCCCCCUCUAGCAGUCCGCAGCGGCCCCCAGCCCCUCCUCUCGCCGUCCCCAGCCCCCCUUGCAGCUCCGCGUGCCAGCUCGGGGAUCGCUGGUUCGCUCCCCGCGGCGCCAGGAGGAGGGGCGAGGGCCGGCAGCCCCCUCCCCCGCGCGGCGCCGGAGCCAAGCCGAGCCGGGGACCCGCCGCUGCCGGUCAUGUGGGCCGGACUGCUGCUCCGGGCCGCCUGCGUAGCGCUCCUGCUGCUGGGGGCCCUGGCCAGAGGCUACACGGGGAGGAAGCCACCCGGCCACUUCGCGGCCGAGAGACGCCGACUGGGCCCACACGUCUGCCUCUCAGGGUUUGGGAGUGGCUGCUGCCCUGGCUGGGCACCCUCCAUGGGCAGUGGGCAUUGCACCCUGCCCCUCUGCUCCUUUGGCUGUGGGAGUGGUAUCUGCAUUGCUCCCAACGUCUGCUCCUGCCAGGAUGGAGGGCACGGGGCCACCUGCCCAGAAGCCCAUGGACCCUGUGGGGAGUAUGGCUGUGACCUUACCUGUAACCAUGGUGGCUGUCAGGAGGUGGCCCGCGUGUGCCCCGUGGGCUUCUUGAUGACGGAGACAGCUGUUGGCAUCAGAUGUACAGACAUCAAUGAAUGUUUGAGCUCCGCUUGCGAGGGCCACUGCGUGAACACGGAGGGCGGGUUCGUGUGCGAGUGUGGGCCGGGCAUGCAGCUGUCUGCCGACCGCCACAGCUGCCAAGACACUGACGAGUGCUUGAGGACGCCCUGCCAGCAGAGGUGCAGGAACAGCAUCGGCAGCUACAGGUGCUCCUGCCGCCCUGGCUUCCACCUGCAUGGCAACCGGCACUCCUGCGUGGACAUCAAUGAGUGUCGGAGGUCACUGGAGAGGCGAGUUUGUCACCACUCGUGCCACAACACCGUGGGCAGCUUCGUGUGCACCUGCCGCCCCGGCUUUAGGCUGCAAGCUGACAGAGUAUCCUGUGAAGCUUUCCCGAAAGCCGUGCUGGCCCCGUCAGCAAUUCUGCAGCCGAGGCAGCACCCCGCCAAGAUGCUCCUACUGCUUCCGGAGGCGGGCCGGCCUGCCCUGCCUCCAGGACACAGCCCUCCUCCUGGGGCUCCAGGGUUCCCUGCCGGGGGCAAGACGACCCACCCACCAUCUCCCACCCCUGCACUGCCCUCGUUCUCCCCUUCUGCCCCUCCGAGGCUGCUCCCCACCCCGACAGCCACCCCAGUGCCAACCACCUCCCUGCUGGGGACCAUCAGACCUCCCUCUUUCCUCCAGGGGGAGGCAAUGGGAACACCUUCUUCACCUAGGGGCCCCGAGGCCCCACCCCUGGCAACACGGCCCCCUCCCUGCUGGCAUUUGGGGGCUGUGUAUGAGUCAGGGAGCCACUGGACAGAGGCUGGGUGUUCCCAGUGCUGGUGCCAGGAUGGAAAAGUGACCUGUGGAAAGGUGAGGUGUGAAGCUGCUUGUUCCCACCCGAUCCCCCCCAGAGAUGGGGGCUGCUGCCCAUUGUGCACAGGCUGCUUUCACAGUGGCGUCAUCCGCGCUGAAGGGGACGUGUUCUCACCUCCCAAUGAGAACUGCACUGUCUGUGUCUGCCUGGCUGGAAACGUGUCCUGCAUCUCCCCCGAGUGUCCUCCAGGCCCCUGCCAGGCCCCCCCACAGUCGGAUUGCUGUGCGUGUGUCCCAGGGAGAUGCUACUUCCAUGGCCAGUGGUACGCCGAUGGGGCCAUGUUCAGUGGGGGUGGUGAUGAGUGUACCACCUGUGUCUGCCAGAACGGGGAGGUGGAAUGUUCCUUCAGGCCAUGUCCAGACCUGGCCUGUCCCCGAGAGGAAUGGUGGCUGGGCCCUGGACAGUGCUGCUUCACCUGCCGGGAGCCCACGCCCAUCACAGGCUGCUCUCUCGAUGACAACGGGGUUGAGUUUCCGAUUGGACAGAUCUGGUCGCCUGGUGACCCCUAUGGUUCGGUGAACUGCAAGAGGACAGACUGCGUGGACUCCUGCCCUCACCCGAUCCGGAUCCCUGGACAGUGCUGUCCAGACUGCUCGGCAGGCUGCACCUACACAGGCAGAAUCUUCUACAACAACGAGACCUUCCCAUCAGUGCUGGACCCGUGUCUGAGCUGCAUCUGCCUGCUGGGCUCAGUGGCCUGUUCGCCAAUGGACUGCCCCAUCACCUGUACCUACCCUUUCCACCCUGACGGGGAGUGCUGCCCAGUAUGCUGGGACUGCAACUAUGAGGGCAGGAAGGUGAUGAACGGCCAGGUAUUCACCUUGGAUGAUGAGCCUUGUACCCGGUGCACGUGCCAGCUGGGUGAGGUGAGCUGUGAGAGGAUUCCCUGUCAGUGGGCCUGCGCUGACCCCACCCUGCUCUUUGGGGACUGCUGCUCCUCCUGCCCAGAGUUCCUGUUCGCUGCGGAGGAACGGCAGGGACCAGCGCCUCUUGGCCGCCUGGAGUUGGGCAAAGCCGCGAGGAGUCCCCGAGGAGACGCCACGGCCCCUGUCAACUGCAGCUCCUGCCCGGGGCCCCCGCCAGCACCGCCUGCCAGGCCCGCGCUCCCUCUCCUGCAGCUCCUCUUGGGCACAAACGUAUCUGACACGCAGACCUCGCGCUCCGAGCCCUCGGGAGCCCCCGCGUCCACCUCGCCCUCUCCGGGACCGGGACCGGGACCGGGACCGGAGGGCACGUCCCCAGGAGAGCCCGGAGACUCCCAGCCCCCUGCCCUCUCCCCAGGAGCCUCCACGCCACCUCCAGCCCCUCCGGGGGCCCCUUGGCCACCUCCUGUCACUCCAGAGGGCCCCGUCUCAGCCUUGGGGACCCGGACAGCAGCCAGGCGGCCCACUACGCUCCUGGCUGAAGCCUCAGCACUUUCCACGCCGCACUCCGGCCCCUCGGAGACCUCCACGCUGCCCCUCAGGCCUCGCAGACCCGCUCGCCCCGCCUCCAGGCUCCCAGCAGCCCCCGCGGCCGCCCGUGCCCGCUCCCGGCAGCCCCCGGAGGAGACGCCGAACGAGGGGGAAGCCAUCUUGUGAGCGGGACCCGCGGCUGGGAGACUCGGGACAGAGGACGCUGUGCCGGCAGCCCCGGGAGCAAACAGGCUGACUACGGGCCGGACCCAGUGGGCACUGCCUGAGGCUCGCUCUGGCGGGCUCCUGGCGGGGACGGCACCCCCACUGCUGGGCGGAAGCUGCUCCCGGAGGCGUUGGCCUAGCGCUGCCGUGGAAGUACUCAGAUGUGCGCUCCAGGGUCAUCCCUGGACCCCACGGCCGCCUGUGCCCUGCGCAAGGGCGGCCUGCAGAGGAGGAGGCGCAGAAGGGGCCUGGGCUCCCCCCGGGACUGUGCGACCUCCUGAUUAGAGGUGGUCUCGGUUUCCCCAGGCCCGUGCUCAUUCCCUCCUCACCUGUGGGGAGGGGGGAUCCUCACUCCAAACCACAGGCAGAGACAGAGAGGGAGAGAGGAAGUCCCCAACUUCUGAUGCACCCCCAAGUGCCCACAACAGCAGGGGCCAGCCCGAAGCCAGGAGCUGUGAAUUCAAUCCAGGUCUCCCACGUGGGAGGCGGUGCUCCGAGUAUUGUUGCCUUCCAAUAUGCAGCUUAGCAAGAAGCUGGAAUCAGGAGCAGAGCCAGGACUUGAACCCAGGUACUCUGAUAUGGGAUGUGGGUGUCCCAGGUGUGUCUUAACUGUGAUGGCAAUUGCCUGCUCCCAAGAUGUAUUUUUUUUUUCUGUCUGAAUUGUUAUUUAUUUGGAAGGCAGAGGGAGGGAGAGAGAAAGAGAAAGAUAUUUUGCAUACUGGUUCACUCCCUGAAUGUCUACAGCAGCUGUGGCCAGGCUGCAGAGCAAGCUCAGUUAGGGUCUCCUGUGUGGGUGGCAGGGAUCCAGUUACUUGGGCAGCUUCUUCUGGAGUUCAGAGGGACAGCUGACAGCGGGUGCCAUGACCACAUCAACUAUUUUUGGGUUCCUCCAAAGCAGAGCUAAGAUAAAUGCUUGGGUGAGAGUCAUGGGAAGAAGGCCAAUCAGUGUGUUAAUGAGCCACUCACGGCUAUGGGCGCUCAGUCCUGCUGGGACCGACUGGGGACUGCAUCACCCAACCUCAGGACUCUCAAGGGUGUGAGAUGCAGGGGCAGUUGUCCUAGUCUUGUUCCUCACUCUUGGAGGCCUGCAGUACUGCUCAUCUGGUUUUUAUUACUCUAAGGAAAUCCCUGAGGAAAGGAAAUGUUUUAGAGAAAAGCAGUUAAUUGGGCUCAAGGGCAAGGCCCUUGGAUGGGCUCGGUUCUUGUGAGAACUUUCUUGGUAGAGACCUGGGGCAGUGUAUGGCAUGACAUAGCAAGAGAUGUGUUGUAUGCAGGUCGGUGUCUCUAUCUGUCCCUCCUCCCUGAACACCGUAGUCUUGAAUGUGUGUCCAUUCCCUUCAUACCGUGGACAUAUGACUGGAGAUUAAAGUGCUGUGUCAAUGGGCUGUGAGAGGAGAGACCAUGUUGAGACGUGGCACAGGCUCCUCCAGGACUCACAGACUCCUCACAGACUCCGCCAGGAGUGCAGCUAGCCCACCCAAGGACCCAGCGUGCUUCCUUUUCACAAGAAGGUUCUUGGGAAGGAGGUGCAGGACCCAUCUGCAGGGGACCUUGGGUUGGGUCACAGCUUCCCAGGGAUGUGGAAGACAUGCUGUACCCCUGGGACGUCCCCAUGUGCAGGGUUCCCUGCCCAGGACUGGCUGCUGCUAGAGAGCUCCAGACCCUCAUUAGGACUCCAGCUGGGUGCAAACUGCUCUUGCUGGGAGGAGCUCAGGUCUGAAUUCUCUGCAGCCUGGGCGCCAAUGGGCAUGAGGGAUUGAGACACCCCAUUUUUUUGUGACCUUGGCUCCCACUUCUAGGGCUCUGGAAAUAGUAUGAGAUGAGGGGUUGACGUCAGAAGCCUGUUCCACUCUGUCAGUUUUCCUGACCCCGGAGCUGCCCCAAAGCCAAGUGAUCAGAACUGUUUCAAAAGGCAUGGUUUUAAGGAUGAGUAUUUGUCCUAACAGCUAAGUAUUUGUCCCACCUGGCUUGGAUUCUCAGCUCCCAACUGGCAGCUUCCUGCUAAAUGCAGACCCCUGGAGGUAGUGGUGUUGUCAGCAUAUGGAAAGGCGUGGAGGUGGAAAAAAGCCUAAGCUAGUUGCAGAGUGGGAAGAUGACCAGUGUGGUGGGUGCUUAGGGUGAGGGGAUCAAAGUGCAGGAGGGAAGGUACCCAGGAACCAGGAAGUUCAAGCCAAAGGUGUGUUGUAUCCCUAGUGGAAUUGCAAGGCAUUCAUUGGCUUUUUAAGCAAGGGAAAGAUGUGACCAACUUUGUUUAAAAAAGAUCGCGAAGCUGUGACAAAUCGGUCGAGAGGGUGAGACUGACGCACUGGGGAGACCUGAGACACUGCUGGGUGGUAGAGCUCACCGUAACCCUUUGCAGAGGCCAGCACCAGCCUUUGGGCCAGCAUCUCCAGCAGAGAAUUUGGGCAGCUGUAGAUUGAGGCAGGCGUCAUGGGAAUUUUUCCAGUGUGCUUGCCGAAGAGCACCGGACUAGUAAGUAGGUUUCCUAGCUCAAGGGGUGUAAUGGACAUCAAGUGAAGGAGAGAAAGAUCACAGCAGGACUCGUCAGAGUCUGAUUGGCACCUGGGCCUGGUGAACUUUGAAGAAAGACCUAGAACAUAGUAUGUUCCAUACUUAUUUUGAAGCUGUGUUUUUAAUGAAACGUUUUGCAACCAAACCCUCUUAGAGGAAUGUUGCUCUAAAUUCUUCCCUUGUGUUUCCAGGGCUUACAUGCUAAUGGGCAUCAACCCAUUAUCCACAACCUAAAGUGAAGUAGGGAGGUGGAUUAUUAAAUUUUUCUGGUUCUCGCCUUGUACCUAGAGAAGCAUUCUAAAUGCAUGUAAGAUUCAUGAAGUAUUAAGAUUUUAUUUAAAAGGUGAGAAAGUGAACACACACACACGUGAGUGUGGAUUGCCCAGCACAGAGGUACCCAUCACGAGUGAGCAGUGGUCUCAGAGAAGGGUAGGUGGAGGAGGCAGAGAAAGAACACCCAGCACCUCCUUCAGUCACAGUGUGGCAGAAGAGAGUGCUGCCCGUUGGCCUCUUUUAUGAGGUUGACAGGAGUGCCUCUAUGGGCAAGAAGUCACCCGGGAGUUUUAUGAUACCUCCAUGAAAUUCUAGGUGGAUGUUGGUAUAUAUAACUUAAUUGUACCUUCUCUCAAGUUCUGAAUGAAACAGAUGAAUCCUGGAGAGGGGGGCUUUUUGAUCGACAAGUAGGAGGAUAGUGUUACACAUGGCCUGGGGGUUGUGAUUUCCAAGUACUUCCAGCUCAUUAGAUCCUGUACUAGCUACCUGUCCCAUAUCCUUCCACCCUCAGAGGUUUCUUUCUUUUUUUUUUUUUAAUAUUUAUUUUAUUAUUUAUUUGAAAGAGUUAGACCUCUCUCUCUCUCUCUCUCCCCCGAGAGAGGUCUUCCAUCUGCUGGUUCACUCCCCAAUUGGCUGCAACGGCCAGAGCUGCACCAAUCGAAAGCCAGGAGCCAGGAGCAUCUUCCGGGUCUCCCCUGUGGGUGCAGGGGCCCAAGGACUUGGGCCAUCUUCUACUGCUUUCCCAGGCCAUAGCAGAGAGCUCAAUCAGAAGUGGAGCAGAUGGGACUUGAACCAGCGCCUAUAUGGGAUGCCGGCACUGGAGGCGGCAGCUUUACCUGCUAUGCCACAGCGCCAGCCCUGCUCAGAGAUUUCUGACCCUUAAUCUUAAGGGGGUGCUGAGGAAUGAAGUUCCAUCUUCUAUAUCUACUGCUGAUCAGGGACAUGGUCGUGCCUAUCCAGGGUUUGGAAACCUCUUCCUAUCUAAUCUAAUGGAUCUAUCUCACCAGCUGGAGAAUUUUUUCAGUCACUUCCAGUGGCUGUUGUUUGAAUUGUCUUCAUUAUCCUGAGAAGCUUUUAAAUUCUUCUUCUUCUUCUUUUCUUCUUAAAGAUUUAUUUAUUUGAAAGGCAAAGUAGAGAUAGAGAAAGGGAGAGAUGGACAGGUCUCACAUCUGCUGGUUCACUCCCCAAAUGGGUGCGAUGGCUGGGGCUGGGCUUGGCUGAAGCUGGGAGCUUCUAGGUCUGCCAUGUGGGUGCAAGGGCUCAAGUACUUGGGCCUUCCUCUGCUGCAUUCCCAGGCACAUUAGCAGGGAGCUGGAUUGGAAAUGGAGCAGCUGGAACUCAAACUGGUACCCAUAUAGGAUGCUAGUGCAGCCAGCAGCUUAACCCAUUAUGCCACAAGGAUAGCCCCUAGGCUUUUAAAUUCUGAAGAAGACAAAUUUACCAAUCAGAAUAAGCAUAAUUGGAAAAAUGGUAAAUUGCAGGUAGAAUAUCCUUUAAGAAAGGAAAAGUAUAUUCUAUUUCCUAAACAGUUGGUGCUGAUAGAUUGUGAAGAUUACAAAACCAUCUUGCCUAGGCAUAAAGAUUUGUAAUAUCUUUUUUCACUGAACAUAAUUCUCUUUGAAGUAUCUGUGACAGAUUCCAUUAAUCACUGCACAUGCUCCUUAUUCUAUCAGUAUAUAUUCUAUGGCUAGUUGGUUUCCAUGACUACCUUAGAACAUCCACAGACUUGAGUACUUGCAGUGAGAGCUGGCUAGAAGCAUAGGCUGGUUUGCCCCAGGCAAUAGACAGAGUUUUAAACAUGGCUUCACAAGGCCUAGCUGGGUUCCCUGAUAUUAUGGUAGAAGGAUUCACUAGGGAGUUUUCCUGCCAAUAGCACCUUCCUGAAAGAAUCAGCGGAAGAGGUAGGUAAAACAUGCCUGUUGUAAAGUGCAGCAGGCUUAAUUUGACAAAAGCCGAGGCCUUACUUAUCUUUUUCUUCUUCAAGAGGUAUUUGAAGUCUUCAGUUGGUUCACAAGCAAAGGCAGAAUUGUCCUCUGUGUGUUCCUGUGAAUACUGGAGAGGUGGAAGUGUAAUUCUUGGCGAAUGUGCCCAGUUUGGAUGCCCUGUCAUUUGACUGUAGUAGGAGUGCUCAGUAGCACUUAGUAGGUCUCUUCCAUUAGGUUGUAAUUGAUCAGAAGGGGAUCCUUCCUUCCAAGUUUUUAAUACAGCUGGGUCUCCUGGAGAGAGAGACUUUUGGGAUCUGGCACUGGGAGAAUUUUGUUACUACGCCCCAUCAGAGCCUUCUGUACCUGGCCUGGAUUGAAUUGUGCUUCAUCUGGUGUUGAGUUUCUGUGUUAAAGAGGAUGUUGGCAGUGAGGAAGGGCCUUCCAUAUAACAUUUCAAGUGGACUAAGUUUUAAAGCAGCGUUAGGUGCCAUUCUCACCCUGAAGAAGGCAGUAGGCAAUAACUUAAGUAAAGCAAGGUGGUUUUUUUUUUUUUUUUUUUUUUUUCCUAGAACCUCCUGUGCAGCAGCUCUUUUUGCUGCCUUAUCUGCUGGUAUUUUUCUUGCUAACAUGACUGUCUUUCUUCUGGGGUCCCUGUAGUGAAUGACAGCCACUUCUGAAGGUUCUAGUACUGCCUGAAGGAGAGUUAAUUUCUCUUUUUCAUAUUUAAUAGGAGCACUCUUUGUAGUCAGUAGGCCUCUUUUGCUCCAAAUUGCUGCAUGUGCCAUGCAAGGAAAGCAUCUUGUUUGGAGUGUGUAUAUGUACAAUUUUUUUUAAGAUUUUAUUUAUUUAUUUGAGAGAUAGAGUUAGAGACAGAGCGAGAGAGAGACAGGGAAAAAGGUCUUCCAUCUGCUGUUUCACUCCCCAAAGAAACCAAGAGCCAAGAGCUUCUUCCGGGUCUUCCAUGUGGGUGCAGGGGCCCAAGCACUUGGACCAUCUUCCACUGCUUUCCUAGGUGUGUUAGCAGAGAGCUGGAUUGGAAGAGGAACAGCUGGGACACAAACUGGCAUCAAUAUGGGAUACUCAUACCACAGGUAGAGGCCCAACCCACUUUGUCACAGUGCUGGCCCUGGAGUCUAUAAAUAUUAACUUUUUGACCUUUUCCGAAUUGCAAAGCUCUGGUCACAGCAAUAAAUUCAGCCUUUUGAGCUGAAAUUUUAGAUGACAGUGCCCAAGCUUCUGUCACCUGAGUAAGAUCCACUGUGGCAUAAACUGCCUUUCUGUCUCCUUCCUUCAUGAGGCUACUGCCAUCAGUAAGCCACUCAACAUCUGGAUUUCCUUUCUUUUUUUGAAGAUUUGUUAAUUGAUUUUUUUUUUUUUUUUUGACAGGCAGAGUGGACAGUGAGAGAGAGAGACAGAGAGAAAGGUCUUCCUUUACUGUUGGUUCACCUUCCAAUGGCCGCUGCGGCUGGCGUGCUGCGGCCGGCGCACCACGCUGAUCCGAAGCCAGGAGCCAGGUGCUUCCUCCUGGUCUCCCAUGCGGGUGCAGGGCCCAAGGACUUGGGCCAUCCUCCACUGCACUCCCUGGCCACAGCAGAGAGCUGGCCUGGAAGAGGAGCAACUGGGACAGAAUCCAGCGCCCUGACCGGGACUAGAACCCGGUGUGCUGGCGCCGCAGGCAGAGGAUUAGCCUAUUGAGCCACAGCACCACCGGCCUGUUAAUUGAUUUGAAAGGCAGAGUUAGAGAAGGGGGGAGAGAGGGGGGAGAGGGAAGAGGGAAGAGGGGAGAGGAGAGAGGAGAGAGAGAGAUUGUCCAUCUUCUGAUUCACUCCCCAAAUGGCUGCAAUGGCUGGGGCUGGGCCAGGCUGAAGCCAGAAUCCAGGAGCUUCAUCCAGGUCUCCCACAUGAGUGGCAGGGGCCCAGGCACUUGGGACAUCUUUGGCUGCUUUCCCAGGUGCAUUAGCAGGGCGCUGGGUUGGAAGCUGAGCAGCCAGAACACGAACUGGCACCUAUAUGGGAUACAGACAGCACUUAACCUGCUAUGUCACAGCACAAGCCCCUCUUUUUUUCUUUUUAAAUUUAUUUAUUUGAAAUGCAGAGUUACAGAGAGGCAGAGGCAGAAAGAGGUUUUCCAUGCACUGGUUCAUUCCCCAGAGGGCUGCAAUGGCUGGAGCUGUGCCGAUCCGAAGCCAGGAGCUCCUUCCGGGUCUCCCACAUGGGUGCAGGGUCCCAAGCACUUGGGCCAUCUUCUACUGCUUUCCCAGGCCAUAGCAGAGAGCUGGAUGGGAAGUGGAGCAGCCAGGUCUCCACCAGCGCCCAUAUGGGAUGCUGGCACUGCAGGUGGCAGCUUUACCUGCUAUGCCACAGUGCCACCCCAGUAGCCCUUUUUUUUUUUUUUUAACAAAGUUUUUUUGAAUUAUUUAUUUGAAAAAGAGAGAUUGAGAUCUUCCAUCUGCUGGUUCAUUCCCCAAAUACUGCAGUAUUUGGUCCCUGGGCUGGAACAGGCUGAGGGCAGGAGCCAGGAACCUCUUGUAGGUCUCUCAUGUGUAUAGGGGCCCAAGCACUUGGGCCAUCUUCCACUUCUUUCACAGGCACAUUAGUUGGGAGCUGGAUCGGAAGUGGGGCAGCUAGGACUCAAACUGGCACACAUAUGGGAUGGCACAUGUGGUGACUUAAUCUGCUAUGCCAGAAUGGUAGCCUUAACUUCUGGAUUUUCUAGCAGUUCAUGUUGUACAAUAGACCUACUGGAAUACACCUGCUCUAUGAUCUCUACACAGGAGUGAGUCUUUUGGUACUUUCAGAUGGCAAUAGAGUACCUGGGUUGAGGACUUAGCAUACCUUGAGAGUUACCUCAUGAGAGUCUAAUAAGAGACCUGGGGCCGGCGCCGCGGCUCACUAGGCUAAUCCUCCGCCUAGCGGCGUCGGCACACGGGGUUCUAGUCCCAGUCGGGGCGCCGGAUUCUGUCCCGGUUGCCCCUCUUCCAGGCCAGCUCUCUGCUGUGGCCCGGGAGUGCAGUGGAGGAUGUCCCAAGUGCUUGGGCCCUGCACCCCAUGGGAGACCAGGAAAAAACACCUGGCUCCUGGCUCCUGCCAUCGGAUCAGCGCAGCGCGCCGGCCGCGGCGGCCAUUGGAGGGUGAAUCAACGGCAAAAGGAAGACCUUUCUCUCUGUCUCUCUCUCUCUCACUGUCCACUCUGCCUGUAAAAAAAAAAAAAAAAAAAGAGAGAGACCUGGAAUAUCGUGAGAUGAACUCCUGUUAGCCACUGAUGUACUUUAAUUUCUAAAAAUCUUUAUAGCUGGUAUGGAGCUUGAGUUUCGAGUGGCUGACCUAAACUCUGCUUGGUGGUUUUCUCUACCAAAGUGCUCUAGCAGCAACUGGCUGUGUGUGCAGGCCAUCCUGCAGCCACUGAAUCUAGCUGUUUAGAAAAGUAGGCCACGCAGUGCUGUGGUGUAGUGGGUAAGGCAGCUGCCAGCAGUGCCGGCAUCCCAUAUGGGCACUGGUUUGAGACCUAGCUGCUCCACUUCUGAUCCAGCUCUCUGCUAUGGGCUGGGAAAGCAGUAGAAGAUGGCCCAAGUCCUUGGGCCCCUGCACCUGUGUGGGAAGACCCGGAGGAAGCUCCUGGCUCCUGGCUUCAGAUCAGCGCAGCUCUAGCUGUUGUGGCCAACUGGGGAAUGAACCAGCGAAUGGAAGACCUCUCUCUCUCUGCCUCUCCUUUCUCUGUGUAACUCUGACUUUCAAAUAAAUAAAUGAAUCUUAAAAAAAAAAGAAAAAGAAAAAGAAAAGUAGGCCAUGGACUGUGGAAGUGGUCCCAAUUUCUAAGUCAUUAUACCAAGAACUACCCCUUGUUUCUCCACCACAAAUAGAAUCAGUGGCUUGUCUGGGUUAGAGAUUCCUAGUGCUGGAGCUUCUGUUACUAGCUCUUUAAUCCUUUGGCUUCCUGUUGCUCUCCUGUCCGGUAAAGUGGGUCCUUGUCAGGACCCUUAAAGCCUCAUAUAACUGUUUGGCUAUCAACCCAAGUCCUGGAAUCCAUAUUCUAUACAAUCCCCAGUCUUGAGGAUCUACUCUUUCAUUUUAGUGGGAAGAUGAUCCUCAUUGGGUUCUGCCUCAGUGCACGCUAACAUCGUAACUAAGGACUGACAGUUGGUAUCUCUUCUAAAGCAAAGGAGUUGGACAUUUGGACAUCACCCAAAACUGUAAGCCCCAGGACCUUGGCUUGCUUGUUGUUUUGACCUCAGCAUGUGGAAGCUACCAACACCGAGCAGGCAGAGCCACCCGGGGAGAGAGAUACUUCCAACUCUGAUUCACCCGCAAGUGUCCAUUACAGCUGGGGCCAGGCUGAAGCUGAGAGCUAUGAACUCAACAUGGGUGGCAGUGCCUCAAGAGCCAUCACCUGCUGCUUCCCAGUGUGCACCUUAGCAAAAGGCUUGAAUCAGGAGCAGAGCCAGUACUUGAACCCAGCUGGGCGAAGUGAGCUGUGAGAGGAUCUUCUGCAGGGAGCUAGUGUCAACCCAAGCCUGUUGUUCAGUGACCGCUUCUCCUCCUGUCUGGAGACACCUGGAGAGAAUGAUAUUUCCAACUUCGGAUUCACUCCCAGUUGCCUGCAACAGCUGGGGCCAAGCUGAAGCUAGCAGUUGUGAACUCACUCCUGGUCCCCCACUUGGGUGGCAGAGCCUCAAGUACUUGAGCCAUCACCUGCUGCCUCCCAGUGUGCAGCUUAGCAAGAAGCUGGGGUCAGGAGCAGAGCCAGGACUUGAACCCAGGUACUGUGAUAUUGGAUAUGGGUGUAUCAGGUGGUGUCUUAACUGGAAUGCCAAAUACGCUCUCUAAGAUGUAUUUUUUGUCUUAAUUUUAUUUAUUUGAAAAGCAAAGAGACAGACAGCCAGAGAGGGUAAAAGAGAACAGAAAGAUAUUUCUUGUUCACGGGGUCACUUUAUAAAUGGCAUAAUAGCUGGGGUCUGGCUUAGGCCCGGAACUUACUCUGGGUUUUUGGUGUAUAUUUAGGGACCAACUACCUAAGCAGGUUCUUAUGUGGGAAUUCAGGCGAACAAUUGUUUGCCACAGUCAUGGUGGGCACCAUAAUUACAUCGACUGUGUUUGGGUUCUGCCAAAUCAGAGCUGGAGAUAAAUGUUUGAGUGAGAGUCAUGGGGAGAAGGUCAAUCGAGGCAUGUUAACUAGCCACUCAUUGCUGGGCAGUCGGUCCUGCUGGGACCUAGUGGGGACAGCAUCACCCAACUUCAGGAUCUUCCCCAAGGUGUGAGACGCAGUGGAAGUUGUCCCCGUAAUUAUCCGCACUCUGAGGCCUGCAGUUCUCAUCUGGUUUUUAUUACUCUAAGGGAAUCCCUGAGGAAAGGUAAUGUUAUACAGGAAAGAUGUUUGUUAGGUUCACAGUUUAGUAGCUCAAGGUCAUGACCUUUGAAUGGUCUCAGUUCUCAUGAAGACUUUCCUGUUGGCAGAGACCUGGGGUGGCACAGAUGUGGCACCCUGAGACAGGUGAUGGGCAGGUCUGUUUUUCGUCUUACAAAGGUCCUGGGAUUCAAACAUGAGUGCUCCCUGAAUGACCUUAUCAAAGCUGAAUUACUUGCCAAGGGCUCUCCUCUAAACCCCAAAUCUGAGUAGGCAUCCACCCCUUUCCUAUCUGGGACAAAUGACUUGGAGGAUGAAGCUGCAUGUGUGAGAGGUGAAACUGUAUUCAAACCACAGCGCUAGCUCCUGGGCUGCUUGCUCACCAGGCCUGUAGCAGGUCCCACCCAAUGACCCUGCCUGCUUCCUGUCUGCCUGCUUCCAGGCACAGGAAGCCUCCUAAGGAGGAGGUGCAGGAGCCAUCUGCAGAGGACCAUGUGUCUGGCCAUGGCCUCCUGAGGACAUAAAAGACCUUUCUGCCAAUGAGACAACUCCGUGUGCAUGGCUACAUGUCCAGGACAGGCUGCCACGAGAGGGCUUCAGACCACCAUGAGGACCACAGCUGAGUGUAAACUGCUCUUCCUUGGAUGAGCUCUCUGCAGCCUGAGCUCAAACAAGCCUGAGGGUUUAUUCUUGGAUGGAGACUGAACACAUUUGCCUGACCUUGGGUUCUACUUUAGGGUUCUGGACACAGUGUGAGAUCAAGGGAUGGUGUCAGAAGCCUGCUCCAAGGUGUUGAUUUCCCUUAUCCUGGGAGCUGCCCCACAGCCAAGUUAUCAGAGCUGUUUCAAGAACUGAGUGUCAGGGUGAAGGUUUGUCCUAGCAGCUAAGAUGCCCGUGUCCCACGCGGAGCACCUGGGUUUGAUUUGAAUACCUGCUAGUGCAGAUGCCGGGAGGCAGGGGUGAUGGCCACAUAUGGAGAGGUGUGGAGGUGGGAAAAGCUUAAGCUUCUCACAGAAUGCUGAGACCACCAGUGUCGUGGGAACUUGGGGCAACAGGAUCAAGUGUGGCAAGGAAGAUGCAGAUGAACCACAAAAUCCAUUCCAAAGUGUGUUGUUCUGUUCCUAAUACAAUCUGAGGCUCUCACUUGAAUUUUAAGCAAAAGAAGGAUGGGAUCGACUUUAUAUUUCUAAAAAGACACGCACCUGUGCAAAUGGGUAGAGUGGAUGGGACUGACUCUGACACUGUGGCAAAUUGGUAGGGGUGGUGAGUUGACACGGGGAUGGCCUCGGUACUGGUUUGUAGAGUUCACACUAACACAUGCCAGAAGCUAGCACCAGCCCUCAGGUGAACUCCUGCAGAGAACCUGGGGCCUGACAGCAGGGGAAGAAACUUUACAAUUUUUUUCCAGUGCACUUGCCAAGGAGUACAGGACUAGCACAUGGGUUUCCUCGCAGAGGAGGAAGCACUAUCAUUAAGUCAUAGGUGGACAAUCACUUGCUUUCCUUUUUUUCUUACCUCUUCCCUUUUUUCCUUUCUUCCUUCCUGUUUUAUUAUUUUUAGAAAUAGCAGCUGACUCACACAUGCACAGGCCUACGUGCCCUCCUCUGUGUGGAGAAAAUGAGCCCAGGCUUUCUGGUUCCCAGGUCUUUUUCUGACACUCCCAGCAGGACCAGUUAAUGCCCACUUGUCCUCCUUCCCUGCUAUGAAAUGUCACUGUGGUUGACCAUGUCUAGUGGACAUGUUUGUUUCUGCAUGUCUGACUGGUGUAGUGACCCCAGUGAUGUGAAGGAGACGUCCUAAUGAGGAGGAGUCACACCCACAUUUUCACGAGCUGUUUUUAUUCUACUUUAUGGGAAUGGGUGGGAACAGGGUCAGCAUCUACUACUAUUGAAGGUGACUGUGUUUCAGGAAGGGCAGUCAGGAGAAUUCUGUCCAUCUAA